AUACGAAGGGGGCAAGCGUUAUUCGGAAUAACUGGGCGUAAAGCGCACGUAGGCGGAAUGUUAAGUUAGAGGUGAAAUCCCAGGGCUCAACCCUGGAACUGCCUUUAAUACUGGCAAUCUAGAGACCGAGAGAGGUGAGUGGAAUUCCGAGUGUAGAGGUGAAAUUCGUAGAUAUUCGGAGGAACACCAGUGGCGAAGGCGGCUCACUGGCUCGGUACUGACGCUGAGGUGCGAAAGCGUGGGGAGCAAACAGGAUUAGAAACCCUAGUAGUCC
rnacentral:rRNA from 1 species